GCCGAGGUGGUGAAAUUGGCAGACACGCUAGCUUCAGGAGCUAGUGGGCGCAAGCCCUUGCGGGUUCAAAUCCCGCCCUCGGCA
rnacentral:tRNA from 1 species